AUUGAACGCUGGCGGCAGGCCUAACACAUGCAAGUCGGACGGUAGCACAGAGGAGCUUGCUCCUUGGGUGACGAGUGGCGGACGGGUGAGUAAUGUCUGGGGAUCUGCCCGAUAGAGGGGGAUAACCACUGGAAACGGUGGCUAAUACCGCAUAACGUCGCAAGACCAAAGAGGGGGACCUUCGGGCCUCUCACUAUCGGAUGAACCCAGAUGGGAUUAGCUAGUAGGCGGGGUAAUGGCCCACCUAGGCGACGAUCCCUAGCUGGUCUGAGAGGGUGACCAGCCACACUGGAACUGGGACACGGUCCAGACUCCUACGGGAGGCAGCAGUGGGGAAUAUUGCACAAUGGGCGCAAGCCUGAUGCAGCCAUGCCGCGUGUAUGAAGAAGGCCUUCGGGUUGUAAAGUACUUUCAGCGGGGAGGAAGGCGGUGCGGUUAAUAACCGCGCCGAUUGACGUUACCCGCAGAAGAAGCACCGGCUAACUCCGUGCCAGCCGCCGCGGUAA
rnacentral:rRNA from 1 species